AAAUUGAAGAGUUUGAUCAUGGCUCAGAUUGAACGCUGGCGGCAGGCCUAACACAUGCAAGUCGAACGGUAGCACAGAGAGCUUGCUCUCGGGUGACGAGUGGCGGACGGGUGAGUAAUGUCUGGGAAACUGCCUGAUGGAGGGGGAUAACUACUGGAAACGGUAGCUAAUACCGCAUAACGUCGCAAGACCAAAGAGGGGGACCUUCGGGCCUCUUGCCAUCAGAUGUGCCCAGAUGGGAUUAGCUAGUAGGUGGGGUAACGGCUCACCUAGGCGACGAUCCCUAGCUGGUCUGAGAGGAUGACCAGCCACACUGGAACUGAGACACGGUCCAGACUCCUACGGGAGGCAGCAGUGGGGAAUAUUGCACAAUGGGCGCAAGCCUGAUGCAGCCAUGCCGCGUGUAUGAAGAAGGCCUUCGGGUUGUAAAGUACUUUCAGCGGGGAGGAAGGUGUUGUGGUUAAUAACCACAGCAAUUGACGUUACCCGCAGAAGAAGCACCGGCUAACUCCGUGCCAGCAGCCGCGGUAAUACGGAGGGUGCAAGCGUUAAUCGGAAUUACUGGGCGUAAAGCGCACGCAGGCGGUCUGUCAAGUCGGAUGUGAAAUCCCCGGGCUCAACCUGGGAACUGCAUUCGAAACUGGCAGGCUAGAGUCUUGUAGAGGGGGGUAGAAUUCCAGGUGUAGCGGUGAAAUGCGUAGAGAUCUGGAGGAAUACCGGUGGCGAAGGCGGCCCCCUGGACAAAGACUGACGCUCAGGUGCGAAAGCGUGGGGAGCAAACAGGAUUAGAUACCCUGGUAGUCCACGCCGUAAACGAUGUCGACUUGGAGGUUGUGCCCUUGAGGCGUGGCUUCCGGAGCUAACGCGUUAAGUCGACCGCCUGGGGAGUACGGCCGCAAGGUUAAAACUCAAAUGAAUUGACGGGGGCCCGCACAAGCGGUGGAGCAUGUGGUUUAAUUCGAUGCAACGCGAAGAACCUUACCUACUCUUGACAUCCAGAGAACUUAGCAGAGAUGCUUUGGUGCCUUCGGGAACUCUGAGACAGGUGCUGCAUGGCUGUCGUCAGCUCGUGUUGUGAAAUGUUGGGUUAAGUCCCGCAACGAGCGCAACCCUUAUCCUUUGUUGCCAGCGGUUAGGCCGGGAACUCAAAGGAGACUGCCAGUGAUAAACUGGAGGAAGGUGGGGAUGACGUCAAGUCAUCAUGGCCCUUACGAGUAGGGCUACACACGUGCUACAAUGGCGCAUACAAAGAGAAGCGACCUCGCGAGAGCAAGCGGACCUCAUAAAGUGCGUCGUAGUCCGGAUUGGAGUCUGCAACUCGACUCCAUGAAGUCGGAAUCGCUAGUAAUCGUAGAUCAGAAUGCUACGGUGAAUACGUUCCCGGGCCUUGUACACACCGCCCGUCACACCAUGGGAGUGGGUUGCAAAAGAAGUAGGUAGCUUAACCUUCGGGAGGGCGCUUACCACUUUGUGAUUCAUGACUGGGGUGAAGUCGUAACAAGGUAACCGUAGGGGAACCUGCGGUUGGAUCACCUCCUUACCUUAAAGAA
rnacentral:rRNA from 2 species